GGGGAGGUCGCAUAGCCCGGUCUAGUGCGCCCGCCUGCUAAGUGGGUUCCGGGGUAAAACUCGGUCGCGGGUUCGAAUCCCGCCCUCCCCGCCU
rnacentral:tRNA from 1 species